rnacentral:misc_RNA from 1 species
GAUGAAGAACGUAGCGAAAUGCGAUAAGUAAUGUGAAUUGCAGAAUUCAGUGAAUCAUCGAAUCUUUGAACGCACAUUGCGCCCCCUGGUAUUCCGGGGGGCAUGCCUGUUCGAGCGUCAUUUCACCACUCAAGCCUCGCUUGGUAUUGGGCAACGCGGUCCGCCGCGUGCCUCAAAUCGACCGGCUGGGUCUUCUGUCCCCUAAGCGUUGUGGAAACUAUUCGCUAAAGGGUGUUCGGGAGGCUACGCCGUAAAACAACCCCAUUUCUAAGGUUGACCUCGGAUCAGGUAGGGAUACCCGCUGAACUUAAGCAUAUCAAUAAGCGGAAGGA